CAGCAGCCGCGGGAAUACAGAGGGUGCGAGCGUUAAUCGGAUUUACUGGGCGUAAAGCGUGCGUAGGCGGCUUUUUAAGUCGGAUGUGAAAUCCCUGAGCUUAACUUAGGAAUUGCAUUCGAUACUGGGAAGCUAGAGUAUGGGAGAGGAUGGUAGAAUUCCAGGUGUAGCGGUGAAAUGCGUAGAGAUCUUGAGGAAUACCGAUGGCGAAGGCAGCCAUCUGGCCUAAUACUGACGCUGAGGUACGAAAGCAUGGGGAGCAAACAGGAUUAGAUACCCCUGUAGUCCCUGUCUCUUAUAC
rnacentral:rRNA from 1 species